UUUUUUUUUUUUUUUUUUUUUUUUUUUUUUUUUUUUUUUUUUUUUUUUUUUUUUUUUUUUUUUUUUUUUUUUUUUUUUUUUUUUUUUUUUUUUUUUUUU
rnacentral:misc_RNA from 1 species